UUUGCAGUUCAGUCAUGAUUGUGUGUACUGUGUUUUCCUGUGUAAUGAGUGAUAAUUUGUGACUUUACAGGUCAGGUUUGUUAACCAGUUGGACCUAUUUUUCAUGAUGUUGCCACAGUUUGAGUUCUCAGCAGCUAGAGUGUGUCCCUCUGUCUGACAAACACCAGCCAGCAUCCAAGAUGCAGCUCUCUGUGCAGACUGCAGGCUGUAGCACCAUGAGGGGAGGUGUUGUGUUUGCACAGCCGCUGUCAGAGCCGUUGGACGGGAGGUCACGUGACAGGAAAAGCGACUAACAUCUACAUUUUAGACUUCCUGAAGGAGGCAGAGACAGAGAGAAUAAAUGCAAGGCUGUGUACACACACAGCUGGAUCUUGUCACACUUUU